rnacentral:misc_RNA from 1 species
UUUAAAUGUAAAUUAAAUUAAAAAAAAAUACACUAAUGUCUAGCAAAGUGUCCUCCUGUGCCACAUCGUGGAGGGCUCCUUGUACGUUGUGGAUUUCGAAGGACAUCAACUUAUUGAACUACUAGAACUACUUCUGCCUCUCCUUCUAAUUCAGUAUUUCUUUCAAAAUCACUUUGACGAUCCUGAUCAUAACCAUAGCUAAAUUGUUGAUAUUGUUCUUGACUAAAUAAUAACUGAUAGAAGUCACUGAAAGAAUGCCUAGCAUAGCUUGUUGAAGCAUGCUGUGUAUCGUUAUGUGUAGAGGAAGACACAUGAAAAGCUGGUAUUUUAUAUUGAAUUGGUGUUGCGUCACUAAAUGGAGAGAUAGGUGGGCAAGUCUGUGGUGGUACCAUUAUAGAAGUGAAAUGAAUGGAAGGUUGUUCUUCAUGAGUAAAAUUAUACGAAUAUUCCAAAGUAGAGUGCAAAUUCCGCUCUACAGGCGUUGAAGAAGUUCAUGGACCAGCCAUAGUAGGAUCCACAGGAUACCAAUGGGUGACUGGUGGAGGGACUUGGAGUACAUUCUUCUGUAGAGGCACAUCAAUAGGAACAUGCCUUUGUGACAUGCCACGUCUCCUUCUUCGUCGUUGUUCUUAUGGCGUUUGCACAUGAGGUAUUUCCAUUGGCGGAGGGGCGAGUUGAAAUGGAAAAGUUAUAGUCGUGAGGUGUUCUUCGUUUAUUGCCCCCAACACACUGAAAACCCUUCAUCGAAUCAAUGGACAGGGUUAGGAGGAUGAUUAUGGUAAAUUAUCUACAUGGUGGAGUCCAUCCACCCAUAUGAGAGAAAAAAAAAACAUUAUUCACUUAAUAUCAUAUACUUAGAUAAAAAAUAAUAAAAAAGGCCAAUUUGUUUACUGUCAAUCUAAUUUGAGCACCCUCAGGGAAAAUCCAGCAUUUUGUUCAUUGCACAAACUAUUGUACAUUUCUUUUGACUUUAUUUAAACUAUCUAAAUUCAUAUUUACUCCCUGGUCAAGUAAUGUUAACACUAAUUUAUCAUGCGUGUUAACAUUUUCUUGAGUUUAAAUUUUUAUUACUACAUUAAAGUAAUAUAAAGUUACUGUUUCACUUAAAACAACAAUCUUUUUUCG